rnacentral:rRNA from 1 species
UACGUAGGGUGCAAGCGUUGUCCGGAAUUAUUGGGCGUAAAGAGCUCGUAGGCGGUCUGUCGCGUCUGCUGUGAAAACUCGGGGCUUAACCCCGGGCCUGCAGUGGGUACGGGCAGACUAGAGUGCGGUAGGGGAGACUGGAAUUCCUGGUGUAGCGGUGAAAUGCGCAGAUAUCAGGAGGAACACCGGUGGCGAAGGCGGGUCUCUGGGACGGUACUGACGCUGAGGCGCGAAAGCGUGGGGAGCGAACAGG